rnacentral:rRNA from 1 species
CAGGACGAACGCUGGCGGUGUGCUUAACACAUGCAAGUCAAGGAGAACUUUAUCUUCGGAUAAAUAUUAAACUGGCGAACGGGUGAGUAACGCGUAAAUAACUUGCCUUGGAGAUUGGGAUAACAUUGGGAAACCAGUGCUAAUACCAAAUAAUGCAGCGGGCCCUUCGGGGCAUUUGUUGUUAAAGUAGGCUUCGGCUUACACUUUGAGAUAGAUUUGCGUCCGAUUAGUUUGUUGGUAGGGUAAUUGCCUACCAAGGCGAAGAUCGGUAGCUGGUCUGAGAGGAUGAUCAGCCACACUGGAAUUGAGAUACGGUCCAGACUCCUACGGGAGGCAGCAGUGAGGAAUUUUGCACAAUGGGCGAAAGCCUGAUGCAGCAACACCGCGUGAUUGAUGAAGUUUUUAGGAAUGUAAAAAUCUGUCGUAAGGGAAGAAAUGUUUCAGAUGUUAAUACCAUCUGUCAUUGACGGUACCUUACAAGAAAGGACCGGCUAACUUCGUGCCAGCAGCCGCGGUAAUACGAGGGGUCCUAGCGUUGUCCGGAUUUACUGGGCGUAAAGGGUACGUAGGCGUUUUAAAAAGUUAUGUGUUAAAUACUUUAGCUUAACUAAAGAAGUGCACAUAAAACUAUUAAAAUAGAGUUUGAGAGAGGAACGCAGAAUUCAUGGUGGAGCGGUGACAUGCGUAGAUAUCAUGAGGAAAGCCAAAUGCGAAGGCAGCCUUCUGGCUCAAAACUGACGCUGAGGUACGAAAGCGUGGGGAGCGAACAGGAUUAGAUACCCUGGUAGUCCACGCCGUAAACGAUGAGUAUUUGGUGCUGGGGGAUUCGACCCUUUCAGUGCCGUAGCUAACGCGAUAAAUACUCCGCCUGGGGACUACGAUCGCAAGAUUGAAACUCAAAGGAAU